GGUGUAUUGAGUGUAGCUGAGGCAGAUAUUGUUACAUGUAACUACUCAAAAACUUUAACUGAUAAGCUGUGGGAGAAGGUGGUGGCAGGAGUAGGGGAUGCAGGGAAGAAAUGGCAGAAUGUGGCGAAAUGCCUGUAACUUGGUCUGAGUGACUAAGAGCAGUUUCUGAGUUCACAAGGCAGCAGAUGGAUAGCCCCUGUCCAAGUGCUACUUGGAGAGAUAAAAAAUGCAGGAAGUAAAAAAAAAAAGGGGGAGUUAAGAGAAAACCAGGAAAUUGAUCAAUUUGAAAUUGAAAAAUAGGUUACUGCAGUUAACAAAUUUAAUUCCAUUCUUUAAACACUUAAAUUAUUCUUUAGCUUCAGAACCAUCAAUACACCUAGUAUAUACCUCUGUCACUGAUUUUGCAUUAAUAAUUAAGUGAUAUCAAUAUUUCCACAGCACCAAGGCAAUACACUCAAAAACUUUUUAAUUGAAGCAGUUCCAAUUGUGAUUUACAGGUCCUCAUGCUUGGCUUGACUGGUGGAUGUGAUAGAUGUUUAGGUAAAAUUUUGACAUAAUUGCAUGCAAGAAAUCUUUAGCCAGGUCUCACCCAGACUUGGUGCCGUGGUUGUUGAAGUAUACUGGUAUCAGAAUCACCAGUAUCUCUUUUUUUAAUUUCUAUUUCAUUGUUAUAGGUCUGCACAUGCUGCAUUUGAGUGGUCCAUCAUUACCCAGUUUGCUGAGACAGCAAAAUAAAGUGGUGUAAAAAACAAAGGGAGUAUACCACCUGUCUUGGGUAUUAGAAAAAACUGGUUCUGCAGAUUGACUUUUUCUGACAGUGAAUGGCUGAAAUGUCAUGAAAUUCUGUUGAUGUUUUACAGAACCAGCUUGGGCACUAUUCACAUUGCAAUCUGUUAGGAUCGAGCAUCUCAGAUUUGUGCCGGAAGAAAACAAAGACAUGGGUGUCAGCAUCUGACCAUUGCACUUGGUGGUGUCUACUUGAGGAGCUCUGUAGUGGAUUUAGUUUGUGCCAAGCUAUGCCAGAAAAAAAAAGCAUCCCCAAUCAAACCAUAAAAAGUGCCCAAAGCCCUUAUCACAAGACAAAAAGAAGUGUAAUAUUAUUUAUUGUUAUUUAGAGUUUGAAGUUAAGUGAACAAAAAUAUUCUCAUAUUGUUUGCCUGCAGAUUUGAGUAAUAAACCACUUACAUUCAAAUAGGUUUGGUUUGGAAUAGAUUAACAAAUGUUUCCCUUGGGUUCAGAACUCAUCUGAAAUAAGAAUGUAAUCUAGAUGUUGAAUUCAUAUGCCUUACCUUUUUCUUUCCUCUCUCUAAUGAAGAAAGUUUUUUAUAAUAUAUUUUGGGUUUUUUCCCCAGUGGCAAAAAAGUGGAUG
rnacentral:lncRNA from 1 species